rnacentral:tRNA from 1 species
GUUAAGAUGGCAGACAUAAUGCAAAAGAGCUAAGUUCUUUCCAUAGGGGUUAUAACCCCCUUCUUAAUU